rnacentral:misc_RNA from 1 species
AACGUAGGACGCAAGCGUUAUCCGGAAUUACUGGGCGUAAAGCGCGCGCAGGCGGGUUACCAAGUCAUGUGUGAAAGCUCCCGGCUAAACUGGGAGAGGUCAGAUGAUACUGGUAGUCUUGAGGAGGUUAGAGGCGUGUGGAAUUCCGCGUGUAGUGGUGAAAUGCGUAGAGAUGCGGAGGAACACCAGUGGCGAAGGCGGCACGCUGGGACCUAACUGACGAUGAGGCGCGAAAGCAUGGGUAGCGAACGGG